rnacentral:rRNA from 1 species
GAUCCUGGCUUAGGAUGAACGCUAGCGACAGGCCUAACACAUGCAAGUCGAGGGGCAGCGCGGGAGAAGCUUGCUUUCCUGGCGGCGACCGGCGCACGGGUGCGUAACAGGUGUGCAAUCUGUCCAUAGUCGGGGGAUAGCCCAGCGAAAGCUGAAUUAAUACUCCAUGUGAAUCGAAGCCGCAUGACUUUGAUUUGAGACGCAAGGACUAUGGGUGAGCACGCUUCUGAUUAGGUAGUUGGUGGGGUAACGGCCCACCAAGCCGACGAUCAGUAGGGGUUCUGAGAGGAAGGUCCCCCCACAUUGGAACUGAGACACGGUCCAAACUCCUACGGGAGGCAGCAGUGAGGAAUAUUGGUCAAUGGGCGAGAGCCUGAACCAGCCAAGUCGCGUAGAAGGAUGAAGGUUCUAUGGAUUGUAAACUUCUUUUGUCCGAGGGUAAAAAAGGCCACGUGUGGCUUCUUGCAAGUAUCGGACGAAUAAGCAUCGGCUAACUCCGUGCCAGCCGCUGC